UUGAACGCUGGCGGCAUGCCUUACACAUGCCAGUCGAACGGUAACAGGUCUUCGGAUGCUGACGAGUGGCGAACGGGUGAGUAAUACAUCGGAACGUGCCCGAUCGUGGGGGAUAACGGAGCGAAAGCUUUGCUAAUACCGCAUACGAUCUACGGAUGAAAGCAGGGGACCGCAAGGCCUUGCGCGGACGGAGCGGCCGAUGGCAGAUUAGGUAGUUGGUGGGAUAAAAGCUUACCAAGCCGACGAUCUGUAGCUGGUCUGAGAGGACGACCAGCCACACUGGGACUGAGACACGGCCCAGACUCCUACGGGAGGCAGCAGUGGGGAAUUUUGGACAAUGGGCGAAAGCCUGAUCCAGCCAUGCCGCGUGCAGGAUGAAGGCCUUCGGGUUGUAAACUGCUUUUGUACGGAACGAAAAGACUCUUUCUAAUAAAGAGGGUCCAUGACGGUACCGUAAGAAUAAGCACCGGCUAACUACGUG
rnacentral:rRNA from 1 species